AUGAACGCUGGCGGCGUGCCUAAUACAUGCAAGUCGAGCGAACAGACGAGGAGCUUGCUCCUCUGACGUUAGCGGCGGACGGGUGAGUAACACGUGGAUAACCUACCUAUAAGACUGGGAUAACUUCGGGAAACCGGUGCUAAUACCGGAUAAUAUAUUGAACCGCAUGGUUCAAUAGUGAAAGACGGUUUUGCUGUCACUUAUAGAUGGAUCCGCGCCGCAUUAGCUAGUUGGUAAGGUAACGGCUUACCAAGGCAACGAUGCGUAGCCGACCUGAGAGGGUGAUCGGCCACACUGGAACUGAGACACGGUCCAGACUCCUACGGGAGGCAGCAGUAGGGAAUCUUCCGCAAUGGGCGAAAGCUUGACGGAGCAACGCCGCGUGAGUGAUGAAGGUCUUCGGAUCGUAAAACUCUGUUAUUAGGGAAGAACAAAUGUGUAAGUAACUAUGCACGUCUUGACGGUACCUAAUCAGAAAGCCACGGCUAACUACGUG
rnacentral:rRNA from 1 species